rnacentral:hammerhead_ribozyme from 1 species
GUACUGCUGAGGAGUCCCAUACUAGGACGAAACGGCCGUCCAGUGG